rnacentral:rRNA from 1 species
UACGUAGGGUGCGAGCGUUGUCCGGAAUUAUUGGGCGUAAAGGGCUCGUAGGCGGUUUGUCGCGUCGGGAGUGAAAACCCAGGGCUUAACUUUGGGCUGGCUUUCGAUACGGGCAGACUAGAGGUAUGCAGGGGAGAACGGAAUUCCUGGUGUAGCGGUGAAAUGCGCAGAUAUCAGGAGGAACACCGGUGGCGAAGGCGGUUCUCUGGGACGGUACUGACGCUGAGACGCGAAAGCGUGGGGAGCGAACAGG